rnacentral:rRNA from 1 species
AGCGAACGCUGGCGGCAGGCUUAACACAUGCAAGUCGAGCGGGCAUCCUUGUGGUGUCAGCGGCAGACGGGUGAGUAACGCGUGGGAACGUGCCCUUCGGUUCGGAAUAACUCAGGGAAACUUGAGCUAAUACCGGAUACGUGCGAGAGCAGAAAGGUUUAUCUGCCGAAGGAUCGGCCCGCGUCUGAUUAGCUAGUUGGUGAGGUUACGGCUCACCAAGGCGACGAUCAGUAGCUGGUCUGAGAGGAUGAUCAGCCACACUGGGACUGAGACACGGCCCAGACUCCUACGGGAGGCAGCAGUGGGGAAUAUUGGACGAUGGGGGCAACCCUGAUCCAGCCAUGCCGGGUGAGUGAUGACGGCCUUAGGGUUGUAAAGCUCUUUUCUCCGGGACGAUAAUGACGGUACCGGAGGAAUAAGCCCCGGCUAACUUCGUG